UACAGAGGGUGCGAGCGUUAAUCGGAGUUACUGGGCGUAAAGGGCGCGUAGGCGGCCGAAUAUGUGUGGUGUGAAAGCCCCGGGCUUAACCUGGGAAGUGCACCGCAAACUGUUUGGCUGGAGUAUAUGAGAGGGCGGCGGAAUUUCCGGUGUAGCGGUGAAAUGCGUAGAGAUCGGAAGGAACGUCGAUGGCGAAGGCAGCCGCCUGGCAUAAUACUGACGCUGAGGCGCGAAAGCGUGGGGAGCGAACAGG
rnacentral:rRNA from 1 species